rnacentral:rRNA from 1 species
CCUACGGGUGGCUGCAGUGGGGAAUAUUGGACAAUGGGGGAAACCCUGAUCCAGCAAUGCCGCGUGUGUGAAGAAGGCCUGCGGGUUGUAAAGCACUUUCGGUUGGGAAGAAAAGUUUGGCGCCAAUACCGCCGAACCUUGACGUUACUGACAGAAGCAGCACCGGCUAACUCUGUGCCAGCAGCCGCGGUAAUACAGCGGAUGCAAGCGUUAAUCGGAGUCACUGGGCGUAAAGGCUACGUAGGUGGGCAAUCCCCGGGCUUAACCUGGGAACUGCAUUCGAUACUACAUGGCUAGAGUAUGGGAGAGGGAAGUGGAAUUUCCGGUGUAGCGGUGAAAUGCGUAGAUAUCGGAAGGAACACCAAUGGCGAAGGCAGCUUCCUGGACUAAUACUGACACUGAGGCACGAAAGCGUGGGUAGCAAACAGGAUUAGAUACCCCUGUAGUC